ACAUCGUCUUGUAGUUUUUUGAUAUCGUCCAUGUUGACACCCGUCAAAGGAACCAAAGUGUUACGUACUUGAGCAAAGGCAAGCUUUAUUGGAAGUCCCAGGGCAUUUAGGGUU